AGCACUGUAUUUAAAUAUAUGGAUGGAAAUUUCUCCUAUUCUAGGCUAUGCUGUAGUGCAAGAAUUCUGGCUCAUUGUUGCACCGCUGACUUGUGCCAUUUUGCUGUUACUUAAUAGAGUUAAGGAGCAUUG
ensembl:snoRNA small nucleolar RNA SNORA46